rnacentral:tRNA from 1 species
CGUUAGCUCAGUUGGUAGAGCAACUGACUCUUAAUCAGUGGGUCUAGGGUUCGAGUCCCU